ACGACCACAUGACAUUGAAACACUGGAUCCUUUACGAUCACCGAAGUUAAGCAACGUCAAGCUUGGUAGGUACCUAAAUGGGUGACCUCUUGGCAAUAACAUGUG